rnacentral:rRNA from 1 species
UAGGGAAUCUUCCACAAUGGACGAAAGUCUGAUGGAGCAACGCCGCGUGAGUGAAGAAGGGCUUCGGCUACGUAAACUCUGUUGUUAAAGAAGAACAUAUCUGAGAGUAACUGUUCAGGUAUUGACGGUAUUUAACCAGAAAGCCACGGCUAACUACGUGCCAG